GUAUUCACUUCAGCAACACAUAUACUUAAAAAAUGGAAUGAUACAGUUGAAGAUUUAGCAUGGCCCCAGUACAAGGAUGACACACAAAUGUGUGAAGUGUUCCAUUUUAAA